UACGUAGGGGGCGAGCGUUGUCCGGAAUCAUUGGGCGUAAAGCGCGUGUAGGCGGCCCGGUAAGUCCGCUGUGAAAGUCCAGGGCUCAACCCUGGGAUGCCGGUGGAUACUGUCGGGCUAGAGUCCGGAAGAGGAGUGUGGAAUUCCUGGUGUAGCGGUGAAAUGCGCAGAUAUCAGGAGGAACACCAAUGGCGAAGGCGGCCCACUGGUCCGGUACUGACGCUGAGGUGCGAAAGCGUGGGGAGCAAACAGG
rnacentral:rRNA from 1 species